rfam:Glossina palpalis gambiensis isolate 146720 unplaced genomic scaffold Scaffold288, whole genome shotgun sequence.
GCGCAGAUUGAAAGGAGAGCAAGUUAGCACUCCCCUAGACAAGGAUGAAAUCAUAUAAAUGACUGGAAAAGGCACUAGGCUUCAGAUGUAGAGAUGAUGCUGCCCCGUCAUAUC